UUAUCUCUUAUUUUAAUGGCUAAAAUCUCCAUUGUCAUUAUAUAUAAAAUCGGCGACAAAGGACAUCCCUGUCUCGUACCAUUUUUAAGUGUAAACCACUCUGCGCAUAUGUUUGGGGCCACUGUUCUUGCUUUAGGACCUUCAUAUAAUGCCAGAAUAGCAUUUAGCAUCCUUCCCUGAAUUCCGAAUUUUUCCAGCGUUUUCCUUAAAAAAUCCCAACCGACCCU